GCGCCGGUGGUGUAAUGGCGUAGAGCAUUCCCGCCCGGUCAGAGGGAAGUGCGGGUUCGAGUCCCGCCUGGCGCU
rfam:Heligmosomoides polygyrus genome assembly, scaffold: HPBE_scaffold0006232